UUAAUGACUUGAUUGUUAAAAACUUCAGCCAAAUUAAAUGUAAAGGAGUUUAAUGGAGCAAUGAAUGAUUUGCGAGCGGGCCAGCCCCCCGAGCCAGAG